CUGGGGACUUGGGGGAUUGCCUUGAAAGGGGGUUAUUUUUAGGGUGGCUGGAAAGCAAAGAAUCUGGACACACAGGAACCCACCAAAGACAAAGAGUCAGCCAUGUAUGUGCCUGACAGACUUGGAGCUGCUCAGAGAGAAGCCAGCUCAGACCCAGCGGACACGGCAAGUCCUGAGGGAUCAUAAAUCUUCAGACAUGAAUCAGGACUUCUGAGAAAAGAUCUUGACAAGAGACUCAGAGACUGCCCACACAGGUCAUGGGAACAGAGCACAAGGGGAAGCUCUAUCUCUGGCCAGCCGUUUGCCAAGUCCCUGCUCUGUGCAGUGCCCAAGCCCUUUGAAGGUAAUUAUCUCCCGGAUGCAAGUUACUGAUAUUAAUAAACAACCCCCUCAGUGGUUUGGAAAACUGAA